AUUACAUAGAUUACGGAUGAAAGCCAAAGCAAAGAACACCUGUUGAGCCUAAAGCAUUCUGGUUGUAAUUUCUUGAAGUGAUCAUCAACAAUGGAGCAGGUGUUGGUCAACAUUCUGGAUGAGGUGACGAGUGACGAGAUGAAGAGAUUUCAGUGGCUCCUGAUCAGGCACCAGAGGCGUGGCUAUGAGCCCAUCAAAAAAAGCGAGUUGGAUCGCGACACAAGCAGGGAGAAUACCGUGGAGCUGAUAGUGAACAAAUACAAAGAGAAUGGAGCUCUGGGCGUCACAAUUAAUAUCCUGAAGAACAUGAACCAGAAUACACUUGCUCACGAGUUGAAGACAAAAGCAAACAUUCUCAAAAGAGGUAAUACCGAAUUACAGGUCAUAAACUGUUGAGCGUGAAAAACCCAGCAGCGUUGCAGUUUUUGACACACACAAACCGGUGCACCUGGCACCUACUACCGUACCCUGUUCAAAGGCACUUAAAUAUGUUGUCUUGCUCAUUCACCCUCUGAAUGACACACAUACACAAUCCAUGUCUCAUUUGUCUCAAGGCAUAAAACUCCUUCUUUAACCUGUGCCAAUAAUUUUGGACCAGACCACAGGAGAAUACUGUUCAAGUGAACAUAUUGUAAAUAAUUACCAUCGUCACUUUGAGGAGAAACCUGAUAUUUAGAACUAUAAUGAACAAAAAUAUAAACACAACAUGUACAGUGUUGGUCCCAUGUUUUAUGAGCCGAAAUAAAAGAUCCCAGAAAUGUUCCAUACGCACAAAAAGCUUAUUUAUCUCAAAUGUUGUUGACAAAUUUGUUUACAUCAUUGUUAGUGAGUAUUUGUCCUUUGCCAAGAUAAUCCAUCCACCUGACAGGUGUGGUAUAUCAAGAAGCUGAUUAAACAGCAUGAUCGUUACACAGGUGCACCUUGUGCUGGGGACAAUAAAAGGCAACUCUAAAAUAAUUUAAUGUUAAUUUCUCUACCAUAAGCCUCCACUGACACCAUUUUAGACAAUUUGGCAGUACGUUCAACCGGCCUCACAACCUAAGACCAUGUGUAACCACGUCAGCCCAGGACCUCCACAUCCGCUUCUUCACCUGCGGGAUUGUCUGAGACCAGACACCCAAACAGCUGAUGAAACUGAGGAGUAUUUCUAUCUUUAACUAAUUCUGAUUGACCCAAGUUGGUGGGUCUAUGCCCACCCAGGCCCACCCAUGGCUACGCCCCUGCCCAGUCAUGUGAAAUCUAUAGAUUAGGGCCUAAUGAAUUUAUUUCAAUUGACUGAUUUUCUGAUAUGAACUGUAACUCAGUAAAAUGGUUGAAAUUGUUGCCUUUAUAUUUUUGUUCAGUUAAGUGUAAUGUCGCUAAUCGUUGAACAUACAGUGCCUGUAGAAGGCUUACACCCCCCCUUGAAAUUUUAUUUACAUUUUGUUGUGUUAUAAAGUGGGAUUGAAAUAGAUUUAAUUGUAAUGUUCUGUCAUUGAUCUACACAAAAUACUCCAUAAUGUCAAAGUGAAAAUAAAAAUAUAAUAUGAUUAUUUUUUUUAACUAAUUAAAUAACUAAAAUAUGGAAGGAGCACAGGAACAAAUCCUAGAGUCAAACUUGCUUCAGUCUGCUUUACACCAGACACUGGGAGAUGAAUUCACCUUUCAGCAGG
ensembl:lncRNA